rnacentral:rRNA from 1 species
GACGAACGCUGGCGGCGUGCCUAAUACAUGCAAGUCGAACGCUUCUUUCCUCCCGAGUGCUUGCACUCAAUUGGAAAGAGGAGUGGCGGACGGGUGAGUAACACUUGGGUAACCUACCCAUCAGAGGGGGAUAACACUUGGAAACAGGUGCUAAUACCGCAUAACAGUUUAUGCCGCAUGGCAUAAGAGUGAAAGGCGCUUUCGGGUGUCGUUGAUGGAUGGACCCGCGGUGCAUUAGCUAGUUGGUGAGGUAACGGCUCACCAAGGCCACGAUGCAUAGCUGACCUGAGAGGGUGAUCGGCCACACUGGGACUGAGACACGGCCCAGACUCCUACGGGAGGCAGCAGUAGGGAAUCUUCGGCAAUGGACGAAAGUCUGACCGAGCAACGCCGCGUGAGUGAAGAAGGUUUUCGGAUCGUAAAACUCUGUUGUUAGAGAAGAACAAGGACGUUAGUAACUGAACGUCCCCUGACGGUAUCUAACCAGAAAGCCACGGCUAACUACGUG